AUCUCAGCUCUGACCUUCUGCAUCUGCUUACCCCAGCCUAGUUCCAAUCUCCUCAUCUUCCCCUAGCACUGUAUAGCAAUUCCCAGGUUUGCCUCUGUGGGCACCUUCCUCCAUCACGUGGAUUGUGAUCCUCCCAGAGAGAGAGAGAGAGAGGAGAAGAGAAGAGAAGAGAAAGGGAAGAAACUAAAAAUCACGCACCACUCUCCAGCGGCAUGGGCACGUCUUUUCGGGCACCCGGAGCAGCCCGUGAAGAGGAUAAACAGCUAUAUCUGAGCUCCCAGUGGCGAUGCUGUGGCUAAAAGGGCGCCUGUGAUCCGUGGAUCUAUAAACAGUGCAAUCCUGGGAGUUCCAUGGUUGGCUGAUUUAGCUCCAGUGUCUGUGCAUGGGCAAAGGACUUCAUGCUCCACACAGAGCAAGAUUCUCCAGCGAUAGCCCCUGCUGCAUCAGCUACCCAGCCAAGCUGGACUUCAUAUCUCCUGCGGUGCAUACCCCAAAUCCUGCCCACUCCUGGUCUAAAAGGGGCCCUUCAUAAUGCAGAGAGAUACUACACAUCUUUUCUUCAGCCUUUUAAAAAUGGUUUAGGAUUCUGCUCUAGGAGGAUGGUCCAAAGCCCACUGAAGCCACUGGACAGACUCCCACUCUGGGUGGAGUUUGGAUCAGGUCAAAGUGCAGUAUACAGAAUCUGAGAGCUGUUUGAGAGUCUUACUGUAUCAAUGAAAUGGUGUACAUAUACUGUAGGUAAAAGCAGAAAUACUUCAGCUUGACUAAUUAUAAAUUGAAAUAUGAGUAACUCUCACUAAAGUCAGUGGAAGUUCUUCAUGGUGUAUGGUGGAAGAAUCACACCCAGGAGAUUUACUUUGUCAAUUUUUUUCAUGGGCUGCAGCAAGUCAUCUCUGCCUGUGAGUUAUUGAUUAUAUUGUACCUUGUAAAUCGUGUGAAUGCUGCUACAGCUCUAGGAAACUGCAUCUUUACCCUACAGAACAAAGCUCUGUCUUGAAGAAACAUUUGUAUUUCUAGGUUUAUGUCCAAGUAGAUGUCCCUGAAUAAGGAUGGUUGUGUGAAUUUCAUCAGCCGUAAUUCCAAGCCAAUAAACUGUGACUUUUCUAUCACUUAUUUUAAAGUUUACCCACAUAAUGGUUUCAGUGUUUUGUUCAAUGGUGUCUUAAAGACAACCAAUGUGUUCUUCAUGUGAAUAAAUAGUAACAAAAUAAUCCUAAAUCAGGGAUAUACUUUUAAAGGUUGUCCAUUAUAACUAAUAGCGAGAUAACUGAGCAGUGGCGCUAGACAAUGAAGUAAAGCAUUUCAUGUUCAGAAGCCUUUGGUGUCAAGUAAAUAAAUGAACAUUCAAAUUAAACCUGUUAGCCGUGCUUCAAAAUUCAAAGUUUUCACAUGCUGUAAGGCUUUGUAUUUUAUAAAAUAAGUACAGAGCAUCAACUUGACAGGACUUUCAUGCAAAUCAACUUUAUAUUCAUAUGGCUGACUCAUAGUUGGAAUUGUUGCACAGCAGCUGGCUAAGUAAUUUAAAAAGAAAAGAAUUUCUCCCUGAGCAGAUAUUUCUGUAC